rnacentral:tRNA from 1 species
GUGAGCGUAGCUCAACCGGUAGAGCUCUGGAUUGUGGUUCCAGUGGUUGGGGGUUCAAGUCCCCUCGCUCACCCCA